UUUUUUUUUUUUUUUUUUAAUCCUGGACAGCCCCUUUAAUCCAUUUUUUUUUUUUUGGUUUCCUUAUUUCUGAGUCCUGGGAUACAUUACAGAACACAGUGUUACAAAGCUGCUCGUAGAAAUUACGCUUUACCUGCCAGUUUCCAUUGGAUCUGCCAAUAAUGGCUGCUGUAGAAGAGAUUUUCCUUUUUAGAGAUCAGCGGCAUUGAGUGUAUCCGGCAGCUGCUGCUUUCCAACUUUACUCAUGGUAAAGGAACUCUAAACUGAUCCUGUGUUAUGCCUAGUGCAAGGGGGUGGAGCAUGACAUAGGAUUCUGUCUUUGUUUUUUCAUCACUGUCAUGCUCCGCCUCCUCAGGCCCUGAGGGUGAGUACUAUUAAAUGACCGAUGCAGGUUUUAAGCCUAGGCCAUUUAGCAAGACCGGCACGAUUUCCAUCCCCAUUUUGGAGUAAAGCACCACUUUAAUGGAGCCGAGCCGCGAUACCGACGAGCCGCCGCGUUUUUCGUAAUCCCGUACAACCCCUUUAAUAAUGGAAAUAUAUAUUUUUGUCCUUUUUUCUGAUGUAGUUUUAUGCACCAGAUUAAGUCCAGCCUGAAUCUGCUGUUCACAGGGUUCCUUUUUUGUGUGAAGAUUGUGUUUUUUUUAGUUUGGCUUUUGCUGGGGCUGCGCGUGCGAUCUUGGGCAAGACAAGUGUUGCGCGACCAGGAAUCGCGGUUCAUCCAUAGAAAUGAAUGGGGUCACUGUGCGGCUGGCACGUAUUGCAAAAAAAUCUACUACCGCUGCGUUUUAUGCGAUUCUAGCAUCAUGGUCGCAGCAGCCUGCAAGUCGCACUGAGACUCCAUUCAUUGCUAUGGCUGCAGUGAGAUCUUACACGUGUCUCGCGCAAGAUCGCCGCGUAGCCCCAGCCUUAUGGGUGUUUCGAGGGAGGGUUCAUAUAACCCAGCACUAGGCAUGCACUCUUUUCCCCGUGCGAAAUUUAGUUUCCAAAUGUGUUGGGUUCUGGUUUUUACAUUUAUCUUUGCAAAAAUCUGAUUACUACGGCAGAAUUAAACGGCGAAAUGUUGUAAAUGUAUCCCUCCGAAGGCCUGCUCGUCAUAUCUCGGUGCACGUUGGAUCUUCAGUGGGGUGUACUGUACUAGAAAAACAUGGCUACCUCAAACACAGCACACGCCUGUCCAUAGGUCGUGUGUGGUAUUGCAGCUCAGCCCCGUUAAAGGGGUGUUCUGGUUUCACGGUAUCCUCAGGAUAGGUCCUCACUUUCAGGCCUCAUGCGCGCGAACUUGUGCCGGCCGGGCCCGGCGCUGCGGACUGCAAUUUGCGGUCCGCAACGCACAGGCACUGACCGUAGGGCUGCCGCAUGCGGAUGCAGGACUGAUUCGCUUGAAUGGGGUCCGCGAUCCGUGCCGCAAAAAAGUAGUGCAUGUGUGGGGUUCCGUGCCUCCGGUCCACACCGACCUUCCAGAUUGCAGACCCAUUCAAGUGCCCGUGGCCGGUGCCCGUGUAUUGAGGACCCGCUGUUUGUGGGCCGCAAUACGGCCACUGCCGGGCAAUGGCUGUGUGCAUGAGGCCUCAGACUGGUGGCGGUCCGACUGUUGGCACCCCUGAGCUGCAGUACUAGUCACAACCCAUGGACAGAUGUGGCGCUCUUCUUAAUUGACCCGAGUAGCCUGAAACGGGCUGGAUGCCACACAGCAGACAUGGGUAAGCUUAGACUGACAGGUUGCUAGGUGAAUGCAGCCUGACAACCCAAUAUAAAGGGCUGUCAGACAGUCUCUUCAUAGCAACCAUGUGAAAGGAGGAGCAGUAGCUUGGCAGCAGGCAAGUCUCCAUCUCAGCCUGCAUUAGUAAUCAGAUUUUUCUAAAGGAAUAAAAUAAUUAAAGGUAGGGAGGCUCUUUAAAGGAACAUUUAGGGGUGAAACACAUACUGUGGACUAUGACGAGUGCAGGGCUUGAAAGGGAGGUGCCCAUAAGAACCCCAAAGCACAAGUCCCUGUGUCAUGCUCCGCCCACUGAGGCCCUACACUUAGUAUAACACAAUUUUUUCUUGAAGCAACUUUUUUUAAAAAUAUAUAUAUAAUAUAAAUAUAAAUAUAUAUA